CGAUGUAGUAGAUAGACCCCAUGCUCCCACCUGCUUAUGUGUUGCUCACACUGUGUGUGAUUUGUCUCUUAUGUUAAGCAGCACCUAUGUCAACAGUACAUAUUCAGAUGUGUUGAGCACUCCAGGUGUAGUCAGUAGGAAGUUCUUUUACUGAGUACCGUUUUAAUUUAUAGACUGCCACGGCCUUAAGAACAUUCUGGACAGAUAACUGCACCAUGUUGCACAGGCACUACUUGUUCUCUCCAUUCUCAUUCUUACUGAGUAGGACCUGGGCUGGAAAGUUCUCUUCUUAUUCACGGAGGCAGGUUGCACUCUUCCUGAAUUGGAUGGGUGGUUUGAAUAAAGGGAUAUUUAAACUUUGCUCCUGUAGCCCGACAUGACUAAUGGUCACUGUGAACCAUUUCAAAGAAUGUGGCAACUUGCUUAUGCCUAAAAGGAGGGAUUGGAACCAGAAUGUUUAACUAAGCGGGGACUGCAUAAGUUCUUGUUAAUUGACCUAUGGAAACCUUAAUUUGUUUAUGUGUCUUUCCAUUGCUUUCCAGCAUUUCAGGACAUCUAAAAGCUACUACCAACAUUUUCCUGUGCAUAACCUCUGCAUGUGAAAACCUAACAGUUACUGAACUUUGUAAAUACGUAAAUUUUUUAUUUAGGUGUGGAUGCAUUUUUUGUCUGUUUACUGCUCCUCUCAGCUUUAUUCAAUAAACUUGCAUUUUGAGGGUUGCAUUGACAAUUUUACCUUAAAAUGUAUCAUGAUGAAAAGACGCAGACCUUUGGACUCGAGUGGGAAGAUAAUCACUCUGGAAAGGGCUCCACAGACUGUGCUGGAAGGUGGCUGCCUCAGCUGGCCGAGGUGUUGAUGGGAUGAACUAGAAAUAAACUUUUACAGUGUCUACAGAGUUGGUAUCAUGGUCCCCUCCCUUCUCUCUUGCUCGGAGAGGAUUCUGUUACAUAUACAUUGAGUGGCACUUGGUGGGCCGGUCCUGAGGAGUGAGUCUAGUCUUCACCAAUGCUGGCCAGGCACUCUAAUGUCACCGAACACACACUCUCUUCUUAGCCCCAAGUCUAGGACUUUUUAAAAUGGUGGAGGCAAGUAAAGAGUUUUAUCAUCCAGUUUCUUUAAAAAAAGUUACACUGCCAGAAACUGAACCUAGGCUCUUGCGUAGUCUAGAGAAGCCCUCUACCACUGAGCUACAUCCCAGCCU
rnacentral:lncRNA from 1 species